rnacentral:lncRNA from 1 species
CACCGAUUGGGUCGCUUCUCCCGCACGCUGUGACGGCCCGGUGCGUCUCUAGCGUCAGCCCACGCGGCGCCUCCCGCGCUUUGUCUCGGUCGUGGGAGCCUAGCGCUGCGGCGCGUGGAGCGGGGAGAGCUCCCGCGGGCCUGAGAAACGCAGAUACCCUCAGAAAGGAAACGGAUGCGACCUAGACGCUGGAGACGAAACGAAAGAUGUCUUGACUUUGCAUUUUAUCAUAUGGUCAUUUUGAAAAGUUUCUUUGAGUAUUAUAAGAAGCAACCUGAAAACUCAGAUCUGCAGGAGGUGAGGCUUUGCUGCACCACAGAUUUGCCAUUGUGAGUUUCUCCCUCACCACAAGCCCAGAAACAAUGGAGCCAGAUUACCAUAGACUGAAACCUCAGAAACUAAGUCAAAAUAAACUUUUCCUCCUUUGAGUUCAUUUUCUUGUAUUUUGUUGCAGUGAGGAAUACUGGACUAACGUACUUGGGGUUCAAGAAAAACCUAAAGAUUUUGUUAUUUAAAGAUGUUUAAGUUCACAUGAACUUCAUUCUUUGUAAAGAGUAUUUCUCUAGCACAUAUGAGGCACCCUGGGUUCAAUAUGCAGAGAGAGAGAGAGGGAGAGGGAGAGAGAGAGAAGCUGCUCUACAUUUGAGCCCCUGGGGUUUCAAACAGAAGAAAAAAAGCUUCAAAACAUUAACAAAUAUUUU